AGUGAACGCUGGCGGUAGGCCUAACACAUGCAAGUCGAACGGCAGCACAGUAAGAGCUUGCUCUUACGGGUGGCGAGUGGCGGACGGGUGAGGAAUACAUCGUAAUCUACUUUUUCGUGGGGGAUAACGUAGGGAAACUUACGCUAAUACCGCAUACGACCUACGGUUGAAAGCAGGGGAUCUUCUGACCUUGCGCGAUUGAAUGAGCCGAUGUCGGAUUAGCUAGUUGGCGGGGUAAAGGCCCACCAAGGCGACGAUCCGUAGCUGGUCUGAGAGGAUGAUCAGCCACACUGGAACUGAGACACGGUCCAGACUCCUACGGGAGGCAGCAGUGGGGAAUAUUGGACAAUGGGCGCAAGCAUGAUCCAGCCAUACCGCGUGGGUGAAGAAGGCCUUCGGGUUGUAAAGCCCUUUUGUUGGGAAAGAAAAGCAGCAGGUUAAUACCCCGCUGUUCUGACGGUACCCAAAGAAUAAGCACCGGCUAACUUCGUG
rnacentral:rRNA from 1 species